AGGCAUUAAAAUUCAAUAACACAAAUAUUAAGCUUUAUAUUUAAUUAUAUCAUCAUGUAAUUGAAGUCAAGAGCUCAUAAUCAUAUUGGCUGACAAAACUCUCAAGAUCAUGAUCAUAAAAAUCAAUAACUGAACAAGGAAUAAGCACAACUCCGCCAAUCAGCCAAGAUAUAAACAAAAUCUAAACACAUUCAUCAUUAAGUUUUAACACCGUACAUGGAUAUCGAAUUAUUCAUGUCAGCAUCUAAUCGCUUUUUCCUCAAAAAGUCGUAUCGAAACGGAAAUUCACAUAAAUUAUAAACACAUACGCAUCGAAACAUCGCCUUCAUAAUUCAAAUUGCAUCAUAUCAAUUCAAUCCAGAAUCAAAUUAGUCUAGAAGAAUAUCUAGAUUAAUCUACACAUUAAAAACCUAGAUUUUCAACCAAAUCGCACCUAUACACACAAAAACGUGAAUCAGAAUCAAUAGCGUGAAUUUUAACAUCUAAAUAACGCAAAAAACGCGAAUAAAAUUCAAAAAAAAUGACAAAAUAGAAAAAUUAGGUACCUGGUUGUGAAGUAUUCGAGAUCUAAGAAGUGUUAAUCGCAACUUUGAAGAGAAGUUUACUUAGGUUCAGGAUUUGAAGGGAACUUAUGACGAUAUAUAAUAUAGAGAUAGAUAUACACGUAUAUUUUCAACAGAACAAAGAAAAGAGAGAUGGGCUCAGUUGGUUUAAAGGGAAUAAGUAAAUCGAGAGGAUAUACACAUGUAUCGCGUGAACGAGGAGCGUCUUCAGUUAGGUAUUAAAUCCGAAUAAUCUCCGAUUCGGUCAAUCAAUUUCAAAAAAAAAAAAAUAACAAUCUAUGUGGGUGUUUGGCAACUCAUUUUAAGCCGAAUUUCUCGGCUUAUAAAUUAGAAUCACUUAUUCGUACCGUUUGUGUAAAAAGUCAAGAAACAUUUAUAAAAAGCUAUGAAUGCUAGCUUUUGUUUCAGAAUUUCUACUUAUUUCUCAAACACUUUAAUCACUUAUAAGUCUUAUCUUGCUUCUAACUUCUACUCCACUUAUUUAUUUUAAGCAAUAAGCAUUUAUUUUAAUCUUACCCAAACGGCCCCUAUAACAUGUCUGACUUGAUUUUUAAAAUUUGAUUUUUCAAUAUAAAAUUUUUCAAAUAAAUAAUUAAAUAAUAUAUUAAUUAUUAUUUUUUUUGAAACAAAACAUACCCGUAUAUCUCGCAUAGAGCAGGGUCCGGUGAGGAUAAAAUGCAAGCNCGUAUCGAAACGGAAAUUCACAUAAAUUAUAAACACAUACGCAUCGAAACAUCGCCUUCAUAAUUCAAAUUGCAUCAUAUCAAUUCAAUCCAGAAUCAAAUUAGUCUAGAAGAAUAUCUAGAUUAAUCUACACAUUAAAAACCUAGAUUUUCAACCAAAUCGCACCUAUACACACAAAAACGUGAAUCAGAAUCAAUAGCGUGAAUUUUAACAUCUAAAUAACGCAAAAAACGCGAAUAAAAUUCAAAAAAAAUGACAAAAUAGAAAAAUUAGGUACCUGGUUGUGAAGUAUUCGAGAUCUAAGAAGUGUUAAUCGCAACUUUGAAGAGAAGUUUACUUAGGUUCAGGAUUUGAAGGGAACUUAUGACGAUAUAUAAUAUAGAGAUAGAUAUACACGUAUAUUUUCAACAGAACAAAGAAAAGAGAGAUGGGCUCAGU
rnacentral:lncRNA from 1 species